UACAGAGGUCCCAAGCGUUGUUCGGAUUCACUGGGCGUAAAGGGUGCGUAGGUGGUGAGGUAAGUCGGAUGUGAAAGCUCGGAGCUCAACUCCGAAAUGGCAUUGGAAACUACCUUGCUCGAGGGUUGGAGGGGGGACUGGAAUGCUUGGUGUAGCAGUGAAAUGCGUAGAUAUCAAGCGGAACACCAGUGGCGAAGGCGAGUCCCUGGACAACUCCUGACGCUGAGGCACGAAAGCUAGGGGAGCAAACAGG
rnacentral:rRNA from 1 species